AGUAUAGGUGAUAGAACAGACUAACCUGUAGGCACAAUAGAGAAAGUACCACGAGGGAACGUUGAAAGAUUCCAUCCUGUAAGCGACAAAAAGAAAAGAUUACACCUUCUACCUUUUGCAUAAUGACUUAGCUAGUCAAACCGGACAAAAGGAAUUAAAGCCCGCCUUCCCAAAAUUAAGUGAACUAUUGUAGAACAGUUGUCAGAACGAACUCAUCUAUGUAGCAAAAUAGUGAGAUGAUUUUACAAUGGGGUGAAAAGCCUAUUGAACUUAAUGAUAGCUGGUUGUCCAAAAAAAUGAAUUUAAGUUCAACUUUAAAAUUAAUUCAAGUAUUAACAAACACUAUUUAAAUUUAAAUGUUACUCAAAAGAGGGCCAACUUUUUUGACACAUAGACAAACUUACCUAGAGGAUAAUGAAAUAUACACAAAACAUUGUAGGCCUAAAAGCAGCAAUCAAUUAAGAAAGCGUUAAAGCUCAAACUUACCUAGCAUUUAAUACCAACAAUUAAUCAAAAUCCCUAAACUCUAUAUAGGACAAUUCUAUAAAUAUUUAGAAGAUAUAAUGCUAAUAUGAGUAACCUGAACAUAUUUUCCUUGCACAAACAUAGAUACAGAUCAAAACAACCGCUUACACUUAACCAAACAAAUAAUUAUAACCACAUACUAGCACCCUAUUACACACAUUGUUAACCCAACCCAGGCAUGCAUAAAAGGAAAGAUUAAAAGGAAUAAAAGGAACUCGGCAAACAUGAGCCCCGCCUGUUGACCAAAAACAUCACCUCUAGCAUUUAUCAGUAUCAGAGGCACUGCCUGCACGGUGAGUUGUAACUUUAAGGCCACGGUAUCCUGACCAUGCAAAGGUAGCAUAAUCACUUGUCUUUUAAUUGGGGACUAGUAUGGAUGGCAUAAUGAGGGUUCAACUGUCUCUUAUUCCCAAUCAGUGAAAUUGACCUUCCCGUGCAGAGGCGGGAAUUCUUAUACAAAACGAGAAGACCCUGUGGAGCUUAAGUCGCAUAACUCAACACAUACUAACAUCCAACCUAUCGGAACAAACUGUAUAGGCUACUGAGUUAUAGUCUUUGGUUGGGGUGACCUCGGAACAUAAAACAACCUCCGAAUGAAUAUAACCUAGAUUAACCAAUCUAAGUGUAACAAAACCAGUAAUUGACCCAUCUCUUGAUCAAUGGAACAAGUUACCCAGGGAUAACAGCGUAAUCCUAUUUGAGAGCCCAUAUCGAAAAUUAGGGUUUACGACCUUGAUGUUGAAUCAGGACGUCCAAAUGGUGCAACUACUAUUAAAGGUUCAUUUGUUCAAUGAUUAAAGUCCUAUGUGAUCUGAGUUCAGACCAGAGAAAUCCAGGAGCUGAAGUAAAUUUAUUUGUAAAUUUAUCUGUAAAUUUAUUUCUCCCAGUAUGAAAGGACAAGAGAAAUAGGGCCAAUGUCCCCGAUAAGCCCUAGAACUAACAUAUGAAUCAAUCUAAAUAUAUUAACUCAAUUUAUACCUCUCCCCAAGAACAGGGUUGUUAAGAUGGCAGAGUUGGUAAUUGCAUAAAGUUUAAGCCUUUACUCC
rfam:Sarcophilus harrisii ctg7180002207672, whole genome shotgun sequence.